GACUUGUUAGCUCAGUUGGCAGAGCAACUGACUCUUAAUCAGUGGGUCCAGGGUUCGAAUCCCUGACAGGUCACCA
rnacentral:tRNA from 1 species